GACGAACGCUGGCGGCGUGCCUAAUACAUGCAAGUAGGACGCAGUUGCGAACGGGUGAGUAACGCGUAGGUAACUACCUAUUAGAGGGGGAUAACUAUUGGAAACGAUAGCUAAUACCGCAUACUAGUAGAUGGACCUGCGUUGUAUUAGCUAGUAGGUAGGGUAAUGGCCUACCUAGGCAACGAUACAUAGCCGACCUGGGAGGGGGAUCGGCCACACUUGGACUGAGGACAGGCACAGAAUCCUACGGGGAGCAGCAGUAGGGAAGCGUCGGCAAUGGGGGUAACCCUGACCGAGCAACGCCGCGGGAGUGAAGAAGGUUUUCGGAUCGUAAAGCUCUGUUGUUAAGGAAGCGGUACUUAACCAGAAAGGGACGGCUAACUACGUGCCAGCAGCCGCGGUAAUUC
rnacentral:rRNA from 1 species